AAUUGUAAUUGAGUGAUUAUGAAUUAAGAAUACUCGUUUAUAUCAUUUUACAUUUAUUGACUAGUUGAAUGUCAAAUUUACCAAACAUUUCAAUUAAGCUGAUUAGUUAUCAGACAUCAGCUAUCAACCAUAAACUACAAAGCUAUCAGAUAGUAAUAAACUAUCCGCUAUUAUUACCAUACAAAGCUUAUAUAAGCAAUUCAAGUUAAUGUUUUCCUGUUAACUAUGUCAAAGGCUUUUUUGACCUUUGAGACCAAAGAAACAUUUUGGAUGACAAGCUAAUGUAAGACAAAUAUGAGGUUAAUUGAAACUAAAGUAGAUCUCUAAUUAACCGACAAAGCUUGAUAUCUGAUCAUAUAAUAAGACAAACAUUUUCAUUCUUUAAAAUAGUAACAAAAACCACUCAAACCAAGCACCAAAUAGAAUAAAUACAAAUCAAGAAGUUGAAACAACACUAACAGUUCCCAUGACU
rnacentral:lncRNA from 1 species